UACGUAGGGGGCGAGCGUUGUCCGGAUUCAUUGGGCGUAAAGCGCUUUAAGGCGGUUCGCUAAGUCGGGUGUGAAACCUCCAGGCUCAACCUGGAGACGCCACUCGAUACUGGCGUGACUAGAGUUCGGUAGGGGACCACGGAAUUCCUGGUGUGAGCGGUGAAAUGCGCAGAUAUCAGGAGGAACACCAGUGGCGAAGGCGGUGGUCUGGGCCGAUACUGACGCUGUAGAGCGAAAGCGUGGGGAGCGAACAGG
rnacentral:rRNA from 1 species